ACCGUUCUUUCCUGUUUUACCAGCAUACAGCAAACUUCAAAAUGGCUGUAGUGUAUGAUAAGUGCCUUGCAAUUAAUUUUUCUAGAAGAAUGAUGACUAUAUUAAUUUUGAAGAAAAAUCCAGAAGAACACCUCAAAUGUGAUAGUUAUGGUCCCUAAAUACAAAUCAGCUGGAUCUCAGCUAAAAUACCAGGCAAGAUGUUAUGAUGUGAAUCAUCACGUUUGCGAUAUGAAUGGCAGUGUCCCUUAGCACAAAACACCUGUACGAAUCAAAGGAAACAAAUCAUGAUAAACCGUCAUCAGCCAAGAAGAGGAACAUCUGUGACUCCAGAAUGACCUGAAUGCUAGAUGCACCAAUAACAGUUUGGUCAAAACCUUCACCUCUAAUUAAAACAUAAGUUAAUCGUAUUCAUUGAAGAAGUUUCUUUCGCAAAUGGAAUACAUUUCUGGCAACAUUG